UGGGCAGACUAAAAUUACACAAAUAAUACAUACAACUUUUCCUGACACUUUCUUACAUGUAACUGACACACUUCUGUUGAAUAUUUACUUUACAGAAAUGGUUCAGUGUCAUCAGAAUAAGUCCGUUAGCAUCACAACCGUGAGCUACCUAUAGAGGCUAUCUAUAAGAGGAGUGUCAGAAAAAGCCCUUUAAUGGGACCUGCUGAUAGAGAAAUGGGAAACACAGAGUUGGAGCGGACCUCUUGUUGAAGAACUUCUCCAGGCACUAUGAACCAUCUGACUAGCCAUCACAUUAAACACUGCAUUGAGGACACUACAACCAGAGA